GGAGCCUCCGGCCGCGGCGCUUGCGGGGGAGUCUCCAGCCGCGGAGGUGGCUGCGGCGUCCGUGAGGCCGUUUCCGGUUCCGGUGCCGCGGGCCGUUGCGCUGCUGUGCCUGACCCACACGGGAUGGCUGUGCCCCGGAGGAUUUUUUAUUCUUGGGGGGGGAUUUUAACUGCACAGAAGAUGCGACCAUAGACCGCAACCACGCAGAGCCACAUCCAGCUUCCCAGCACGCUCUGAGGCAGCUGGUCCAGUCUCAUGGCCUGGUGGAUGUGUGGAGAAGGAUGCAUGCAGACUGCCGACAGUACACGUGGUCCCACCUCAGAGAAGAGCAAGGCUGGACAUCAGCAGCAGUGGUACCCCAGGCCUGAUGGGGGCGCUGCUGAAAGCACGAGUCCUGUGCCUGCAGCAGCUGGUGGACGCAGUGGGGCCGACGCUGAGUGACGCC
ensembl:lncRNA